rnacentral:tRNA from 1 species
GCCUGGAUGGCUCAGUCGGUUGGGCAUCUGACUUCGGCUCAGGUCAUGAUCUCGCAGUCCGUGAGUUCGAGCCCCGCGUCAGGCU